CCCGCCCCCGGCACUGCACGCGCGUGCGCAGGAGUCUCGCUCGGCGUUCGCGCCGGGCUGUGGGUGUGGAAGCCGGGCCCCGCGGAGGUGUGCGCCCACCAGCACCUCAGUGGGAACCACCACGUCGGCUGACCGACUGCUUUCUUCGCCGGGUCUUCUCGCCUCCUCCCUGUGAGGGUGGCAGAACCUGCUCCUCCAAGUGGCAAAGGAGGAACCGAGAGGCAAGGGCCUUCCUGCGGCAUCUGGGAGUCCAGAUGCUGGGUUCUCGUUAGUUGCUUUUUUUUUUUUUUUUUUUUUUUUUUCUUUUUUUUCCCGUAAGCUAAAGCUGAGCGCUGAGUGGGAAGCCUCCAAUGCCGAAAACUGGUUUUCUUACAGUAUCAGUUUGGGUGUGUCAGUGACAAGUAGCAGCUCUCCAGAGGCGAAAGGCGCCCAGUCAGAAUGGAUAAAUAUAGACAGGAAAAGAAGCUGGCCUUUUCCUACCCUUACUCGCCAGAGGGUUUUAACGCUUGGAGAAAGGUGCCUCUUCUGCAUUAGUGGAUGUGGAGCCCCUACGCUCAACUGCUUUUUCUCCCUCGGGCAAUUCUGACGUACGUCGCAACAUCUCCCUGACUCUCUGUCUUGUGCAGCAGCAGUACUGAUCCCGAUGCCUGCAGGGCCAACACCCGGGGCUGCCGCUGCUCCUGCGCCAGGAGACCUGGCGAAGGCCCUGCCCGAGUUCUUCAUCUGUGGGCCAGGGGCGCUGGGAAGACUAAGUGCCAUACACGAAAGGGCCCUGGUACACUGCCAGGCACGUAACAAGCACUUGGCAAGUGUGAGUGGUGUUAUGCCCACGUGAGAGACGCCCAGCUGCGUCUCCCCUGCCCCCCACCCGUGGGUACCGGGCCCCUCUGUCAGCACCAAGGCUCGUGCAGGUCUGACUGGGCAACACCAGGAGCGGGUGCGGGGGCUGCAGUAACAGCCCAUUGUCUCCCCCACCUGCCCCCAGCAGGCCGACAAUGACAACUGGCAU
rnacentral:lncRNA from 1 species